UACGUAGGGGGCAAGCGUUAUCCGGAAUUACUGGGUGUAAAGGGAGCGUAGACGGUAAUGUAAGUCUGGAGUGAAAGGCGGGGGCCCAACCCCCGGACUGCUCUGGAAACUAUGUUACUAGAGUGCAGGAGAGGUAAGCGGAAUUCCUAGUGUAGCGGUGAAAUGCGUAGAUAUUAGGAGGAACACCAGUGGCGAAGGCGGCUUACUGGACCACAACUGACGCUGAGACACGAAAGCGUGGGGAGCAAACAGG
rnacentral:rRNA from 1 species